rnacentral:rRNA from 1 species
AGUGAACGCUGGCGGUAGGCCUAACACAUGCAAGUCGAACGGCAGCACAGUAAAAGCUUGCUCGUACGGGUGGCGAGUGGCGGACGGGUGAGGAAUACAUCGGAAUCUACUUUUUCGUGGGGGAGAACGUAGGGAAACUUACGCUAAUACCGCAUACGACCUACGGGUGAAAGCAGGGGAUCUUCGGACCUUGCGCGAUUGAAUGAGCCGAUGUCGGAUUAGCUAGUUGGCGGGGUAAAGGCCCACCAAGGCGACGAUCCGUAGCUGGUCUGAGAGGAUGAUCAGCCACACUGGAACUGAGACACGGUCCAGACUCCUACGGGAGGCAGCAGUGGGGAAUAUUGGACAAUGGGCGCAAGCCUGAUCCAGCCAUACCGCGUGGGUGAAGAAGGCCUUCGGGUUGUAAAGCCCUUUUGUUGGGAAAGAAAAGCAGCAGGUUAAUACCCCGCUGUUCUGACGGUACCCAAAGAAUAAGCACCGGCUAACUUCGUG